rnacentral:sRNA from 1 species
UGAACGCAGCGGUUCCAGAUAAUAUGGA